rnacentral:rRNA from 1 species
GUGGGGAAUAUUGGACAAUGGGCGCAAGCCUGAUCCAGCAAUGCCGCGUGAGUGAUGAAGGCCUUAGGGUUGUAAAGCUCUUUCACCGGGGAAGAUAAUGACGGUACCCGGAGAAGAAGCCCCGGCUAACUCCGUGCCAGCAGCCGCGGUAAUACGGAGGGGGCUAGCGUUGUUCGGAAUUACUGGGCGUAAAGCGCGCGUAGGCGGCUUGACAAGUUGGAGGUGAAAGCCCGGAGCUCAACUUCGGAAUUGCCUUCAAGACUGUCUCGCUCGAGGCAGGGAGAGGAGAGCGGAAUACCCAGUGUAGAGGUGAAAUUCGUAGAUAUUGGGUGGAACACCGGUGGCGAAGGCGGCUCUCUGGCCCUGAUCUGACGCUAAGGCGCGAAAGUGUGGGGAGCAAACAGGAUUAGAAACCCCUGUAGUCC